CAGUAGCCGCGGGAAUACGAAGGGGGCUAGCGUUGCUCGGAAUGACUGGGCGUAAAGGGCGCGUAGGCGGUUUUGACAGUCAGAUGCGAAAUUCCUGGGCCUAACCUGGGGGCUGCAUUUGAGACGACAAGACUAGAGUGUGAGAGAGGGUUGUGGAAUUCCCAGUGUAGAGGUGAAAUUCGUAGAUAUUGGGAAGAACACCGAUGGCGAAGGCGGCAACCUGGCUCAUUACUGACGCUGAGGCGCGAAAGCGUGGGGAGCAAACAGGAUUAGAUACCCCUGUAGUCCCUGUCUCUUAUAC
rnacentral:rRNA from 1 species